rnacentral:rRNA from 1 species
UACGAAGGGGGCUAGCGUUGCUCGGAAUCACUGGGCGUAAAGGGUGCGUAGGCGGGUCUUUAAGUCAGGGGUGAAAUCCUGGAGCUCAACUCCAGAACUGCCUUUGAUACUGAAGAUCUUGAGUUCGGGAGAGGUGAGUGGAACUGGCGAGUGUAGAGGUGAAAUUCGUAGAUAUUCGCAAGAACACCAGUGGCGAAGGCGGCUCACUGGCCCGAUACUGACGCUGAUGCACGAAAAGCGUGGGGGAGCAAACAGG